rnacentral:tRNA from 1 species
AUGUCUUUGUAGUAUAAAAAUUACUCUGGUCUUGUAAACCAGAAAUGAAGAUCUAUUCUUCCAAGGACA